UGGCGGUCGCCCCCCUUCCCCUCCCCGGGCGCCAUCGCCCCUCACACCGUCGUCGGCGCUCUGGGGGCUGAAGGCGGCACCUCCAGGCUCCUCUACCCCGUCUCCCCCUGCCAUGUAUUUUUUAGUGAACUUGUAAGGACGAGGAGCCUUGAUAAGAAAGGAAAUAAAACCACGAGGAGCAUGGGCUCAUCCCUGCCGCUGGAGCCGGGCCGGGAGAUGGGAAUAUUCAUCAUCGGCCCCAAACCCAUCCAUCUCCCCGCUCUGCCUGCGGCGCCCUGGCUGUGUAUGCUGGUUGCUAACAACAGCCGCCGGCUCCGCUGAAACAGGUCCGUAAUGUGAGAAUGUGCUGAGCCAAGGCCCUCGACUGUUAAAAGAUGGGGCAAAGUCUGAAUAUUAGGAGUAGAAGAAGACAGGAAAGACCCACUAUACGCCUCCUAUGUGGUGCAGAGCAAUGAGGAAUUGCCACCUAAUUCAGAAGAAAAAGGAAUCCAAACACCCCCAAUAUGAACCUCAGGAGAAGUGCUUAUUAAAUUUUACCUUGAUUUAUUUUCA